UCAACUGGGAGAGAGACACAGAGAACUGAGCUUCAACUGGGAGAGAGACACAGGGAACUGAGCUUCAACUGGGAGAGAGACACAGGGAACUAGACACUGCUAAAUUAAAACCAACCAAGCGCCCGCCUACACACACACACGCUCGCGCGCGCCCGCCUACACGCACGCGCAGCACGCCUAAACACCCAAACACACACGCGCCCGCCUACACACCCAAACGAGUCCAUGUCCACCUACACACACACGCGUGCGCCCGCCUACACACACGCGUACACGCGGUCACCUCACUCAAAACGUAUUUUUUGGGAAGCUAAAACCCUGAUUUGAUCAAACAGUAUGCCUAGGGUUGCACAUUUUGGGUAAUAAUCAUAGGACGAAACUUUCCAUUGGAAAUUAACAGGAAUAUAUGGGAAUUAAUAUUAAUACCAUUUAAAUGUAGAUGUUUUUUGCAUUGGAUAUAUUCACCAUAUCAUACGGAGACAGAAACAAACCGUUUACCUUAUCACAAGUCGACAUAAUUGCAAAUUAUGAAAUCCUUCCAAUAUAAAUUUUUACAACUAUUUAGUUAAGAAUUGAACUUUAAUUAAAUGAGUUGACUGUUCACAUGGGAUGAUUUCACUGAACAACAAAAGGGAAUAUUGAAUGAUCCAUCGCAUCUCCCAAAAACGUUUUCAACAUAUAGUACUGUGCAAAAGUUUUAGGCAGGUGUGAAAAAAUGCCGUAAAGUAAGAAUGCUUUCAAAAAUAAACAUGAUAAUAGUUUAUAUUUAUCAAUUAACAAAAUGCAAAGUGAGUGAACAGAAGAAAAAACUACAUCAAAUCAAUAUUUGGUGUGACCACCCUUUGCCUUCAAAACAGCAUCAAUUCUUCACUUGCACACAGUUUUUGAAGGAACUCGGCAGGUAGGUUGGCCCAAACAUCUUGGAGAACUAACCACAGUUCUUCUGUGGAUUUAGGCAGCCUCAUGUGCUUCUCUCUCUGUAAUCCCAGACAGACUCAAUGAUGUUGAGAUCAGGGCUCUGUGGGGGCCAUACCAUCACUUCCAGGACUCCUUCAUCGUCUUUACGCUGAAGAUGGUUCUUAACCUCUUAUGGCUCAAAAAUCAGCAUAGGAACUGGACUACGCUCCUGGAAAACACUCGUUAUAGACGUGAUGCGACGCAAGAAUUUUGUCAAGACGGAGAGGUUAGCACGGCAUGGCCAGUGUGCCAUGCUAAUUCAACAGGGACAUCGUUCGUUCUAGGUCCAAAUGAACACGGUUCUGAACAAAGGACCCUUUGGAGAACAUUCUGAUGGAAAAUCAACAAAGAUAAGGACCCAAUUUGGGAUGCUUUUUCAUAUAUCUGUCGAACUGUGC